rnacentral:tRNA from 1 species
AGUAUUAAAUCUAAAUUUAGAAUUAAAUUGUAAAUUUAAAAGUUGAAAAUUUGAAUUUUUCUGAUACUA